UGAAUAUGCACGAAUCACGGUGCCCGCAAGGGUGAAAAGGGAAGAGGGGUGACGCUCUGACGAGCUAUUCCCCCGCGGACCCGCCGCUGUAAGCGAUGACGAAGGGCAACAACGUCACUGAUCAUUUAGAUUGGGAAGACGCCCGGAGGAUGACUCGCAAGUCAGAAGACCUGCCGCUGAUUGUUGUUACUC
rnacentral:ncRNA from 2 species